AUGAAGGAUUGUGCUGGUACUGGAAGGGCAGAGAAAUUCCUGACCAAAUUUUGGGGUUUCUGUUCCACAGAGAGAACCCAGCUGGGCCAGGGAGGGCAGGAGCAACUCCUGACCAAAUUUUGGGGUUUCUGCCCCACAGGAAGAACCCAAAUAAUGAGGGUUGUUCUGGUCCAGGAAGAGCAGGGGAAAAUCCUGACCAAAUUUUGGGGUUUCUGCUCCACAGGGGAAUGAGGGUUGUGCCGGUCCAGGAAGUGCAGGGGAAAAUCCUGACCAAAUUUUG
rnacentral:lncRNA from 1 species